rnacentral:tmRNA from 1 species
GGGGGUGUAAAGGUUUCGACAGGGGUUGUGAGUUCUGGUAAGCGGGUAGUGGUGCGAAACCACUUUAAAAGUCGCAACUUUUAAAUAAUAAACGACAACGAUAAUGUAGUUGCAAUGGCUGCCUGAGUUGCAGUCCGUCACAUAGAGAAGUACCACGGUCUUUAUGUUGGCGUCAAGCAGUGGUGAACAUGAACAGAGUAGUGUCUUGGACUUUGUCAUGCAGUAAAGACUACCGUAACAUUAAACCUGUCAGUCGGUGUAAUGUGAGGGGAAUCCUAAAUGACUGCCUACACCCGUAGAAAUCCUCUAUAAGUGACUUCUGGACAGGGGUUCGACUCCCCUCACCUCCACCA